rnacentral:rRNA from 1 species
CCUACGGGAGGCAGCAGUGGGGAAUAUUGGGCAAUGGGCGCAAGCCUGACCCAGCAACGCCGCGUGAAGGAAGAAGGCUCUCGGGUUGUAAACUUCUUUUUUGAGGGACGUAGGAAGUUACGGUACCGCAUGAAUAAGCCACGGCUAACUACGUGCCAGCAGCCGCGGUAAUACGUAGGUGGCGAUCGUUAUCCGGAUUUACUGGGUGUAAAGGGAGUGUAGGCGGGCUUGCAAGUCAGAUGUGAAAACUAUGGGCUCAACCCAUAGCCUGCAUUUGAAACUGGAGGUCUUGAGUGAUGGAGAGGCAGGCGGAAUUCCGUGUGUAGCGGUGAAAUGCGUAGAUAUAAGGAGGAACACCAGUGGCGAAGGCAGUCUGCUGGACAUUAACUGACGCUGAGGCGCGAAAGCGUGGGGAGCAAACAGGAUUAGAUACCCUUGUAGUC